CUGAAAUAGAACUCUCAGGAGGUAACAGCGUGUCACACAUGUGAUGUCAUAACCAUUGUCCACCAGAGAGCAGCACUGAGCAGAUAUAACACUGCUCCUGCUCAUUCUUCAUCAGUGAGGGGCUGAUGCUGGACACUGUAGGGGCCGAGAAUGCAAAGUCACAUACACUACUGUGACUGGUAAGUAUCACAUUGUUGUGACCAAAAGGUCUUUAGUGCAGUUCAAUGUGCUUUUCUAUAAUAAACAUGUAGAUAAUCCAUCUUUUGUUUUCCUAUCUUAGAUGCACUAUUUCCAGGAUGUGGAGUAGCAUUUCCGGACCUACAGAAAGACGUUGGAUGAAGACGUAGAUUUCCAGACCUAUUCCAGAAGAAUUUGGAUGAAGGCACAGCCCCUCGAAUCACGCACAUACACAGACACAUUUGGCCAAAUUCUAGAGGUAACCUCCUUUAGUAUGCCCAGAGGAAGGGCAAUACAGUAGCCAUGGAUUCCCUACAGGUUUCCUCCCCUCUGGAGGUUUUUCCUGUCCUGAGUAUUAGUUACUGUACGCUCUUUGUGAGUGAUGGAGGUUACAAAAAAUCCCUGACACAAACAUUUUUAUAUAUAAUAAAUAAAGUUCCCCUUUUUAAACCAUUCUGUAACUUGUUUGACUCAUUUAUUUUAUUUGUGUGUGAAAAAUAGUGUUAGCAAUAUGGAAAUGACAUGAGGUUUAUUUAAGUGUCCAAAGCUGCUCUCCUGCACGAUCUGCAUAAUGCGGUGCAGAGAGAGGCAACUGAUGCUGGGGGGUACAGUUACCAAGGCAACCAUAGGACACCCAGCAAUUUCCAUGCAGGAGCCUUUUUCUGAUGAACGGGACCCUAGGAGAGCGGAGGAGGCAGGUGAGAAGACCUCCAGCCACCAUUUUAAUGAUCACCAGAUCACCACAGAUGCACUAUUUCCAGGAUGUGGAGUAGCAUUUCCGGACCUACAGCAAGACGUUGGAUGAAGACGUAGAUUUCCAGACCUAUUCCAGAAGAAUUUGGAUGAAGGCACAGCCCCUCGAAUCACGCACAUACACAGACACAUUUGCCCAAAUUCUAGAGGUAACCUCCUUUAGUAUGCCCAGAGGAAGGGCAAUACAGUAGCCAUGGAUUCCCUACAGGUUUCCUCCCCUCUGGAGGUUUUUCCUGUCCUGAGUAUUAGUUACUGUACGCUCUUUGUGAGUGAUGGAGGUUACAAAAAAUCCCCGACACAAACAUUUUUAUAUAUAAUAAAUAAAGUUCCCCUUUUUAAACCA